UAAUUUCUGAAAUAUGCGUUAAGCUCUUAUUUUGAACCUACAUUUUAAUUUAGGGAGUUCAAUAUUUAAAUGAGGAAAUGUACCUUUCUGUGAGUCCUUUUAAGGCAUCAAAGGCGAUUGAAGCAUUUGUGAGUACACCCACCUAUCUGAGGAUAGGGAUCAAAAUUAGAGUACCGGUAUUUUGGAUUUUUA
rnacentral:other from 1 species